rnacentral:rRNA from 2 species
UCACGGAUCCAGACUUUGAUUCUGGCUCAGGACGAACGCUGGCGGCGUGCCUAAUACAUGCAAGUCGAACGAGCUCUCCCAAAUUGAUUUUAUGCUUGCAUAAAUGAUUUUUGGAUUCGGAGCGAGUGGCGAACUGGUGAGUAACACGUGGGUAACCUGCCCCGAAGCGGGGGAUAACAUUUGGAAACAAAUGCUAAUACCGCAUAAUUAGUUGGAACCGCAUGGUUCCAACUUGAAAGAUGGCUCUGCUAUCACUUUGGGAUGGACCCGCGCCGUAUUAGUUAGUUGGUGAGAUAAAAGCCCACCAAGACGAUGAUACGUAGCCGACCUGAGAGGGUAAUCGGCCACAUUGGGACUGAGACACGGCCCAGACUCCUACGGGAGGCAGCAGUAGGGAAUCUUCCACAAUGGACGAAAGUCUGAUGGAGCAACGCCGCGUGAGUGAUGAAGGUUUUCGGAUCGUAAAACUCUGUUGUUAAAGAAGAACAAGUGUUAGAGUAACUGUUAACACUUUGACGGUAUUUAACCAGAAAGCCACGGCUAACUACGUGCCAGCAGCCGCGGUAAUACGUAGGUGGCAAGCGUUGUCCGGAUUUAUUGGGCGUAAAGCGAGCGCAGGCGGUUUUGUAAGUCUGCUGUGAAAGCCCUCAGCUCAACUGAGGAAGUGCAGUGGAAACUACAAAACUUGAGUACAGAAGAGGAAAGUGGAACUCCAUGUGUAGCGGUGAAAUGCGUAGAUAUAUGGAAGAACACCAGUGGCGAAGGCGGCUUUCUGGUCUGUUACUGACGCUGAGGCUCGAAAGCAUGGGUAGCGAACAGGAUUAGAUACCCUGGUAGUCCAUGCCGUAAACGAUGAAUACUAGGUGUUGGAGGGUUUCCGCCCUUCAGUGCCGCAGCUAACGCAUUAAGUAUUCCGCCUGGGGAGUACGACCGCAAGGUUGAAACUCAAAGGAAUUGACGGGGGCCCGCACAAGUGGUGGAGCAUGUGGUUUAAUUCGAUGCUACGCGAAGAACCUUACCAGCUCUUGACAUCUUCUGCCAACCCAAGAGAUUGGGCGUUCCCUUCGGGGACAGAAUGACAGGUGGUGCAUGGUUGUCGUCAGCUCGUGUCGUGAGAUGUUGGGGUUAAGUCCCGCAACGAGCGCAACCCUUAUUAUUAGUUGCCAGCAUUUAGUUGGGCACUCUAGUGAGACUGCCGGUGAUAAACCGGAGGAAG